AGUGAACGCUGGCGGUAGGCCUAACACAUGCAAGUCGAACGGCAGCACAGUAAGAGCUUGCUCUUACGGGUGGCGAGUGGCGGACGGGUGAGGAAUACAUCGGAAUCUACUUUUUCGUGGGGGAUCACGUAGGUAAACUUACGCUAAUACCGCAUACGCCCUACGGGUGAAAGCAGGGGAUCUUCGGACCUUGCGCGAUUGAAUGAGCCGAUGUCGGAUUAGCUAGUUGGCGGGGUAAAGGCCCACCAAGGCGACGAUCCGUAGCUGGUCUGAGAGGAUGAUCAGCCACACUGGAACUGAGACACGGUCCAGACUCCUAAGGGAGGCAGCAGUGGGGAAUAUUGGACAAUGGGCGCAAGCAUGAUCCAGCCAUACCGCGUGGGUGAAGAAGGCCUUCGGGUUGUAAAGACCUUUUGUUGGGAAAGAAAAGCAGCAGGUUAAUACCCCGCUGUUCUGACGGUACCCAAAGAAUAAGCACCGGCUAACUUCGUG
rnacentral:rRNA from 1 species